rnacentral:lncRNA from 1 species
CCAAAGCAAGAACAAAGGAAGAAAAGAAAGAACAAGAACCCUAGGGUGAAAAUUCAAGAGAAAAUUGGUGGAUUUCAAGUAAUCAAGCAAUCAAAGGUAAAAUUUCUUGAUUUUGACUUGUGAUCUACCUUUCCCAUACAUUCUUUUGCAUUUUUCAUGGUUGAAUCACAUGAUUUCAUGAUGGGUAUCUUGCUGGCUGAACACUUAGAGAGAGGUUUUGAUGCUUGAUUUGAUUAGAUUUCAAUGUAUUUUAGUGUUUUUAGUUGAUUGGUGAUGUGUAGCAUGAAAAUCAAGCAAGAAAAAUUCAUGUUCUUCCAUCACCCAUCAUUGGCCGAAUUCUCCAUGUGGAAUAUUGAGGAUGAUUUUGAUUUUAUUUCAAGUGAUUUGGUUAGGAAUUAGUGAUUUAUGGUGCGAGAAUCAAGUAGGAAAAAUCAUAGUGUUGAUGCACCCACCAUGGCUGAAUUUUCCAAGAGAAAAUGUGAGGAUGAUUUUGCCAUAUUUCAAGUUAUUUAAUUUGUGUUUGAUGAUUUGGAGUAUUGGGAGAAAAAUGGAAUUAUUUGGAGUUGAAUUGGACGUAUUGGCCAAUUAAUUGGGUGAUAGAUCGAGUUAGGCCAACAUCGCAUGUAGACGAUAAUCCGAACAAUUCACGUUCCAUAUCAUGCAUUCAUAUAGAGUUUAGAUUAGUUUUAUAACAAUUUAGCACCAAUGUGGUAAAUUGCUUGAUUGUGCAUUAUAUCUAGGUGGUGAACAUUCUGGUAAAAGUAAAGAGAUAGUACCCGAAGAUCAAGAAUCGGAGUACUCGAAACUCGAUUUCCAUUCUAGUGAGUAACCUUAUCAUCAUCUUGAUUAUCUGAAGUGAAUUUUAAUUCGUUUUUGUGAUUUUAUGAAAAAUGAGUUUAAAUGGUAAAUCUUUAUGUUUUAAAAGCAAAAUGUGAUUAAAUGAAAUGAUUUUAUAAAAUUGUCUUGAAAUUGAAUGAUGGUUUUGGAAAAUGGAGUAAUUGGAGACUAAUUGCUAUGUUGUAAAUUAUGGUUUGAAUUGAAUGGCUUAUGAUAAUAUUGGCAUGAAUGGUUGGAUUUGGUAAAUGUGUUGAAAAUGUAUGAACUGUUGAUUUGCUUUGAGAGGCUGUAAAAUAAAAUAAUUGCCAUGUCAUGUUAUUGAAUUUUAUUGAAUUGGUGGGUUAUAAAUUGAUCGCUGCAGUGGAUGGGUUCCGUGGACCAGCCUAUUAAAGGGGCAUGGUAACCCUAUUAUAUUCAUACCUCAGUAUGAGAGGCGCGGUUGGAUAACUCUUGAGGUUAAAACUUUAGAGUUCACUUCACUAAACCACCACGUGAGGGUGAACUCAGCCAACGUCAAGGAACGACUAUGUUUUCAGAAUAAAAACAUGAUUUAUGCGUACAUGACUUUUAAAAGCCUUGGCGGACUAGGUUUGGGAUAGCCCUCGGCCAAGGUAUCCUUGAUAACUGAGUAUGAGAAUGAUUUUGGCACGAGCCAAGCUUUUCUAGAAAUCAUAAGUCUCGUUAUUUAUUUGGGUGAAAUGAACCUAUUUUAUCUUAUUAAAAUGAGUUCGAAAUGCUGUGAAUCAUUUUUAUGCUAAUCUAAUUUAUCUGUCUCCAUUUACUCAGUUUUAGAUAUUUUAGAUGAUAUUUGUUUACUCACUGGGAUUAUAUAAUCUCACCACCCUCAUUUCCACCUAUUUCAGGCUCAAGAUAGUCGAUAGAUAGCUCACUUUGUUGAGGGCUACAGUUGGACUUGCAUCCUAAAAAACUAUAGGUUUACCGCUUUUGAUACUUUUGGUUGUUCGUGGGCCCAUGUGUCACUGUAAAUUAAAUUUUAUAGAUUGGUUAUCUAUAUUACAGUAUGUAUGAGUUUUUUUAGCUUUUACGCUACAAAAAUUAUUUACCGGUAACUCUAUAAAUAUUGUUUUAUAAGAAAAUAGAAUAUUUUAUUGAAUAUUUUUAUUAUAUUCAAGUAGUCAUAAUUUCAUUUUAAAUGAAGGUUUUAGAUGUUUAAACUUAUUUUUGAUUAUGAAUCAUGUGUUUUAUACUCACAUACUACAUUUUUAGCUAGUUUCGAGAUUUUUGAGAAAAAAUGACCAAAAUGCCCCUGUGAGAAAAAAAUUAUUUUUCUAUUGUUUUGAUUUGGAAAUAGUUUAUAAUCUCUCAAAACAUGAUACUUAACAACUGUUGCUCACAGAGGAGGUGUGGAAGCUGAUAUUAAAGCCUUGCGGGGUUCCGGUUGACAUUCCGGGUAAUAAGUGUCGAUCAGGACACCGCGGCGGUUGUCAUGGGCUUGAGGGGGGUAUCGGGUUGUGAGAAUUAGAGUGGUAUCAAAGCUUUUGGUUUUAAAGAUUAGAGCUUUUUGAUUUAAAGUUGUUUUAAAGUUAUUUUGAAGACUACAGUGUCAGUAUGGCCCUAAGUUAAGUUAAGUUAGGUUUGAUAGAAUAGAAUACGUGCACCUGCAUAUAGAAUUUGAGUUGAUUAGACUCGUUCUGUUUCUUCUUAUAGAUCUUAUGGGAGCAUAAGUCAUAGACAGGGAGCUAUAUGAACUCUUGUUCUCAGUAAUCCACUUCCUUGUUAAUGUCAUGCAAAGGUCAUAAGUGGAGUCGUUGUCCGGGUUUGAGAUUACACUCGUGACACGAGCCAGUGUUAGAGAGAUCUUAAAACGAAUGCUCCUAAUGAAAGAUUAAUGAAAUGAUAUAUCCCUCCGAUUAAGGAUGGAGAAAUUUGGAGUUGGACUAAUAGGCCGUGAUAAUUUAUUCAUUUGGUGGAGUUAUAAUUGAACUCAUGGUUGUCUGUUGGAAAAAGAUUUGGGGAAUAUGGAUUGUAUUGGGGUUAAUAUAAAAGAACAUGUGUGAUAAUGGUAAUAAGGGGCGCACUUUGAUUAGAAUGAAUAGUGAUGGUUGUAAUUCACUUGGAGUGUAUAAAUUAAGCAUUGAGGUAAAAGUAAACCCAUGCUUAUAUGCAUGAAGAUAAGAACACUAUGUUAAUUGAGCUUGUUAUGCCCAUAUAAAAGUGGUGUUGGGAUUUUGAAAUAUUUUAUGUGAAUAUGUGUUGAAUAGGUACAACAACUUAGAGGGAACUGGUGUUGAUUUCAAUUAAGCGAUUGUGAGAUUUCAAGAAUUGAUUAGACCUAUUAUAGUUCAUGGAUAUAGGCACGUGAAUUAACUCGAGAGUGAGCAUCAAUGAUUACUAUAAUUGAUGUGUGGUCAUGAAGUAAGAAGUUAGUAAACAAAUCUGCUCUAAGGAUGAGCUUAAACUUUGCUAUGCAUAGUAGGGGGAGCCAAGGGAUUAAAGGACUAGAUGUGGAAUUGGCAGCUUGAGGUUAAAUGACUUGAAAAUGUCGAAUCUAGUCUAAGUGCCAUAUAAAAUUCUAUAAUUGAGAUUGAUAUACGAAUUACUUAAAAGAUCAAUUUAAAAGUCUAUUUAGUUCAAAGUGUGGCUUAUGAUACGAAUGAUCAGUCUUGAAGGUGAUCUCCCCAGAGUAAGAAAUUUAGAAAAUGUUGAUGUUUGGAUAUACUCUAAGAGAGAGAACUUCUGCAUCCUAAGUUUAGGACAACUUUGAUCUUAUGAUCGCAAAGGCAAGGUGUAAUAACUAAGUAAAUUAUUCACUUAAUAAAUGUGAUUGGUUAUUGAUGAAUAAAGUCAAGAUCUUAACAUUUAGUGGUAUACAAUUUGAUAAUUAUGUAUUUAAGAGUUAUUUGGAGACAAUUCCUUCAUCAAAUUUGCACUAAAUGCUAUGGUAAAGGCAUAUCAAUGUUAAUAUGGAAAUGUAUCUAGGAAUGAUCUUAACAUACCACCAAAGGAGAAUUAAACAUGUUGAAAUUAAUGUUCUAAUAGUGUGAAUAUGAUAAAAAGCUAGUUUGUAAGUUGUAGUUUUCAUGAUCAUGAAAUAUAUAAAGAUUAUCAAUAUAUGGACAUACACUUGGAGUUGUAAUUUACAAGUUUGGAGUAUUUAAGAUAUGAUUAAAUGGAAUUAGCAUUAGUUAAGGUACGUAAAUCUUUUAAUUAAUUUCUGUGGAGUAUGCAUGAUAAUAGAAUGGAGGAACAUAGUGCCGUGAUACUAUAUGGUGAAGUUACUAUACAAUAUGGAAAGAGUAUUCUAAAGUGGGAUUUAUUGACUGAUGAUAAGUGAUGUGCAAUAUGAGAUACAUGUAGCUAUGAAUAAAUUUGGAGAUUUUUGCUUAAGCAAACUUGUACUAAAUGUUAUGGUAAAGAUAUAUGAAUGUUAGUGGCAAAAUAAAUAUGUUAAAUCAAUGUUCUGAUCGCGCACUUGUGAUAGAAAGUUAGUCUUGCUAAUUGUGGUAUAGACUUAGAGGGAAGCCACACGAUUGUGAAUAAUUGAGGCAGUAGCUUUAAAGGUAGAAGAGUUGUUGGGAUAAAGUGAAUUCAAACAGUUGCAACGCCACAGUACUGACUAUCAAACGCUGUCGCGUUAAGAACCCCUUAUAGUUAGAAAGCAUGAGCAGAUUGGGAGUGGCAUGAAGAUGAAACUCACGAGUUGAAGAAUGGUCAUUGGUUUUGAUGCUAAGCUUUGUUGUUUGGAGUCUUAAGUGCAUUGGGGAGGUAUUAAGAUAAAGAUGAUGAAUGAAAUUGCAAAGUUUCCUUAUUGCCUUAUAUAUUGGCACGUAAGAGAAAGAAAAGUUAGAAAGUUUUUGAGAUGGCUACAUAAAAAUAAAUUAACAUGGGGAGUGUUAAGAUGAAUAAUAUGUUGACUGAAGUCAAAUCUUAAGAAAUAAAGAAGACAAGAGAUUAAGCCUUGUUAAAGACCAAAGAGAAAGCGAGGGAAAGGUUAGAUGAAUGUAUGAGAUAUUGAUAAAAGAUGUCAAUACCAAGUGAUGAGAGUGUGAAUGAAGAUUCAAGAAUGAUAUAGCAAAUGAGUUUAUAUAGAAUAUUGUUACUAGAAUUUGCAAAUCUUGUCUUGACUUUGUUGAAAGGAAAGGAUUAGUGACAACACAAGUAAACUAUGUGGUAUGCUAGAAACCCUUGGAGAUAAAUUGAAGCAUGAGUAGUUGAGCAUGCCUUUAUGGAAAUGAUAUACUUGGAGUAUGAAAGAGCAAAUAAGUGAUUAAGUGUUUCAAGAAUGUUUAAACACCUUUGAGAAAGAAUUAUAAAUUAUACGAGAUGAGUAUAAGAUGUGUGAUUUUGAAACUUGCUAAGGAGCCAAACGGCUAAGUCACGAGUUAAGUGAUCACAUGCUAUGAGACAUAAGUUUACGAUAGAUAUCCCCAAGGAAAUACUCAAGAUAAGUUCUGCAAUGGAUCUCGUGAAAGUAAACAUUAAGUUAUAUGAUCAUAAAAAGGAAGCCAUAAGUUAAGAGUGAUACUUGUAUUGACAUUGAAAAGUACUUGAGGAGGACAUAGUUUCAAGUCUUGUAAUUUCAAGUACAAUUUGUAAAUUGGUUAAGGGAGAAUGAUGUUAUGUUCAUAUGAAAGAGUGGAACAAAGGAUGAUUGAAGUUGACCUUGAUAAUAAAUUCAGAUAAUGAAACUUUCCUAAUAUAUUAUGGAAAAUUGGAAUUCGAAAACGCUUGAGGCAUACAUGAUUCAAAUGAGUUUGAGUCUUAAGUGACAAAUCAAUAUCGAAAUGCAAUAAGGAUACAAUAUAUGUAAGAGGCAUGAAAGAUAAUCGAGGAAUAAGGAUGACUUUUAGGAAUUAUGGUAUUGCAUAACAUGCAAUGAUCGAGUCAAGGAAAAAUUUUUGAAGUAUCAAUGGGAUUAUAAAGCAUACACGCAUAAUAGAUUAUAAUUCAAUGGAGAUGACAUUGUGAUGCAAUGAUAUAUAGUACAAGGAAACUUAAGUAUACAAUUGGAAAUGAUAAGAAGAGAGUAUAAGUAGGUAAAUGAUGUGAAACUAUGCACAAGCAUGAUGAGAAUUUGUAUGAACUAUGAAGAUUAUUCUAUUGAAUCUUGAUUAUUGAUGGGAAUGAACAAAGAGAAAUUAGUCUAAAGGUAUUUGAAAACAGAGACCCGUAUACUUAAUGAGGAAUAUAGACAUUUGAAUGUGCAUGUAUACGUGUGUGUGGAGUUAGUGAUGUACCCAACUAAAAUGAAGAAUGGUUUUAGUGGUUCGAGAUUUGAACACAAUAUAUUUGAUGAGUGUAUAGGUAAUGUAACGAUCAAGAAUCUUAUCAGAAGUCGAUUUAUGGUAACCUAAGGAAUUUUGGGGAAAUAGUUAAGGGAAUGUAAUCUAUAGUGCGAUUAAGCCAUAUGAGAUGGACUAAUAGGAUUAAGAAGAUUGAAAUUUCCUAAAUGUAAGGUAAACAUGAAGUAUGUGGAAAUAAUUGAAGCCAUUAAUCUUCCCUAACGUUGAGGAUAUGUAUAAGAAUGAGUAUGGCAUGUUAAUGAUACUGUAAACUACACAAUAUUGUAUGAGGAUGGAAUGAAUGAAUGAAAGUUGAGAAGUUUGAUAUGGAAUGAAGUAAUAAGAUAGAGAUUGGUAUACCUAAAUAAGUAUAGAAUGUGAUCGAAAUUGGUAUGAUUGAGAUGGAGUUAUGGUUCAAGUUUAAUGAUAGUAAUAGAAGCAUGCUUAGUGUCUCGAUAUAAAAGAUCAUAAUUGUGAAGGUUACUAUUGAUAUGAUUUUAAAGGAUAAUAAUAGACAUAAGUGAGGUACUCGAGUUAAAUUGGAGGAAAAUGAGGUGAACAAAUCGAAAUUCCCUAUAAAGCGGAGGACAUAAGAAGUCGAGCAUUAGAGGAGAAAACAAUAUCCUCACCUUUUCUCUAAGUUCAGUAAAUAAAAUUUUGAGGUCAAAUAUUUAUUUUAAGGGGGGUAGUGCUGUCAAGCCCGACUCUACAAUAUGUUUAUUAUGCCAUUCCUACAUAAGAAUGCAUGUUUGCUUACUUGGGUACCUCAAAAAUCGUUAAAGGACGGUAUUGUACCAAAUGGUACAAUUAAGUUGGAUUAAGCCUCGAACUAGUCCAAAUAGAGAUUUUAAGAUGAAAUUGAGAAUUUUAAAACCCCAUAAUGACUUAAAAUGGUGAUUCGAAGUUCAAGGACCGACUUGGAGUCAAAUUGAAAUUUUCAUGAAAUAGGAGCAAAAUGGUCAUUUUGCCACUCGAGGUUAAAAUUGGAAUGUUGGAAGAAGUUUUUUUAUCAAGAUUGACUAUUUAGAACAUAAAUUGAGUUUGAGAAGUGAAAAUUUUAAUUUCGAUAUUUUUCCAAGCAUAAGGGUAAAAUAGUCAUUUUGCCACCCUAGGGGCAAAAUUAUAAUUUUACACCACCCAACACUUGUCCAGCACAUAGAUUUUACCCAAUAUUAUUAUGCCUAAUUAAGGAAAUUUAAAUGGUGGAGAGAUAUUGCUUAAUGGGUAAGUAUGACACAUGGACUAAUGGAAUGGUGACAUGUGUCAAUUUUCAUCCAUUUAUUAUUUGGCUUAAAAAUCAGCACAAAAUCAGCCCAUUUCUCUUCAUAUGGCCGGCCAAAGCAAGAACAAAGGCAGAAAAGAAAGAACAAGAACCCUAGGGUGAAAAUUCAAGAGAAAAUUGGUGGAUUUCAGGUAAUCAAGUAAUCAAAGGUAAAAUUUCUUAAUUUUGACUUGUGAUCUACCUUUCCCAUACAUUCUUUUGCAUUUUUCAUGGUUGAAUCACAUGAUUUCAUGAUGGGUAUCUUGCUGGCUGAACACUUAGAAAGAGAUUUUGAUGCUUGAUUUGAUUAGAUUUCAAUGUAUUUUAGUGUUUUUAGUUGAUUGGUGAUGUGUAGCAUGAAAAUCAAGCAAGAAAAAUUCAUGUCCUUCCAUCACCUAUCAUUAGCUGAAUUCUCCAUGUGGAAUAUUGAGGAUAAUUUUGAUUUUAUUUCAAGUGAUUUGAUUAGGAAUUAGUGAUUUAUGGUGGGAGAAUCAAGUAGGAAAAAUCAGAGUGUUGAUGCACCCACCAUGGCCAAAUUUUUCAAAGAGAAAAUGUGAGGAUGAUUUUGCCAUAUUUCAAGUUAUUUAAUUUGUGUUUGAUGAUUUGGAGUAUUGGAAGAAAAAUGAAAUUAUUUGGAGUUAAAUUGGACGUAUUGGCCAAUUAAUUGGGUGAUAGAUCGAGUUAGGCCAACACUGCAUAUAGACGAUAAUCCGAACAAUUUGCGUUCCAUAUCAUGCAUUCAUAUAGAGUUUAGAUUAGUUUUAUAACGGUUUAGCACCAACAUGGUAAAUUGCUUGAUUUUGCAUUAUGUCUAGGCGGUGAGCAUUCUGGCAAAAGUAAAGAGAUAGUACCCGAGGAUCAAGAAUCGGAGUAUUCGGAACUCGAUUUCCAUUACAGUGAGUAACCUUAACAUUAUCUUGAUUAUCUGAAGUGAAUUUUAAUUCGUUUUUGUGAUUUUAUGGAAAAUGAGUUUAAAUGGUAAAUCUUUAUGUUUUAAAAGCAAAAUAUGAUUAAAUGAAAUGAUUUUAUAAAAUUGUCUUGAAAUUGAAUGAUGGUUUUGGAAAAUGGAGCAAUUGGAGACUAAUUGUUGUGUUGUAAAUUAUGGUUUGAAUUGAAUGGCUUAUGAUAAUAUUGGCAUGAAUGGUUGGAUUUGGUAAAUGUGUUGAAAAUGUAUGAACUGUUGAUUUGCCUCGAGAGGCUGUAAAAUAAAAUAAUUGCCAUGUCAUGUUGUUGAAUUUUAUUGAAUUGGUGGGUUAUAAAUUGAUCGCUGCAGUGGACGGGUUCCGUGGACCAGCCUAUUAGAGGGGCACGGUAACCCUAUUAUAUUCAUACCUCAGUAUGAGAGGCACAGUUGGAUAACUCCUGAGGUUAAAACUUUAGAGUUCACUUCACGCCAAACCACCACGUGAGGGUGAAUUCAGCCAACAUUAAGGAACGACUAUGUUUUCAAAAUAAAAACAUAAUUUAUGCGUACAUGACUUUUAACAGCCUUGGCGGACUCGGUUUGGGAUAGCCCUCGGCCAAGGCAUCCCUGAUAACUGAGUAUGAGAAUGAUUUUGGCACGAGCCAAGCUUUUUAGGAAAUCAUAAGCCUCGUUGUUUAUUUGGAUGAAAUGAACCUAUUUUAUCUUAUUAAAAUGAGUUCAAAAUGCUGUGAAUCAUUUUUAUACUAAUUUAAUUUAUCUGUCUUCAUUUACUUAGCUUUAGAUAUUUUAGAUUAUAUUUGUUUACUCACUGGGAUUGUAUAAUCUCACCACCCUUAUUUCCACCCAUUUCAGGCUCAAGAUAGUUGGUAGAUAGCUCACUUUGUUGAGGGCUACAGUUGGACUUGCAUCCUAAAAAAUUGUAGGUUUACCGCUUUUAAUACUUUUGGUUGUUCGUAGGCCCACGUGUUACUGUAAAUUAAAUUUUAUACUUUAGUUAUCUGUAUUACAGUAUGUAUGAAUUUAUUUAGCUUUUACGUUGCAAAAAUUAUUUACCGGUAACUCUAUAAAUAUUGUUUUAUAAGAAAAUAGAAUAUUUU